GGGAAUCUUGCACAAUGGGGGAAACCCUGAUGCAGCGACGCCGCGUGAGUGAUGAAGCCCUUCGGGGUGUAAAGCUCUUUCGGCAGGAACGAUAAUGACGGUACCUGCAGAAGAAGCUGCGGCUAACUACGUGCCAGCAGCCGCGGUAAUACGUAGGCAGCAAGCGUUGUUCGGAGUUACUGGGCGUAAAGAGUGUGUAGGCGGUCAGCUAAGUUCGGUGUGAAAUCUCCCGGCUCAACUGGGAGGGUGCGCCGAAGACUGGCAGGCUUGAGUGCGGGAGAGGAAAGCGGAAUUCCUGGUGUAGCGGUGAAAUGCGUAGAUAUUGGGAGGAACACCGGUGGCGAAGGCGGCACUCUGGACCGGAACUGACGCUGAGGCGCGAAAGCUAGGGGAGCAAAC
rnacentral:rRNA from 1 species